rnacentral:lncRNA from 12 species
CCCCCCCCCCCCCCCCCCCCCCCCCCCCCCCCCCCCCCCCCCCCCCCCCCCCCCCCCCCCCCCCCCCCCCCCCGGGCGAGCUGGGAAGAGGCGCUGGUAGACGAGGAGGAGGAAGAGGAGAAGGAGCUGCCGCCCGUGGAAAAGUUUCCAAAACUCCCGCCGGCCGUGUGCAUGAGGUCUCCUCGCAUCAAUCCAUGCGCGCCGGGCCCGGGGCUCUCCAGCCCCCGGGAGCUGAAGUCGGCGGGGCCGCGGUACGAAGCAGGCGCCCGGGGGCCUUCCCGUGUCCGCCACCCGCUGCUCCGGGCUCGGCGAGGCGCCCCCCCCCCCCCCCCCCCCCCCCCCCCCUGCUCCGGGCUCGGCGAGGCGGCGGCGAAUCGCCCGGAGAGGUGCGGGGAGUCAGUGCAAACAGGGGCUCGGACGACAGCGGAUCCGUAGUGCGCUCGGGAAAUCGCAGGCUGCGCCGGGAGAGCUCAUGUGCUACCUUAAUUCCAGAGCAACAACGUCUCCAACCACAAGGGGCAUCGGUAUCUGCUGCCUGUCAAAACUGGCGCUUUUUUCAUCCUGAGACUAUCAACUCCAUCUGUCACAGAAAUUGGGACAAAAUCUAUUUUCCAGAAACUCGGGGAUCUUGGAAUUCCAUGUGGUGUGGAAUCAUGUCUGUCUCAAAGUGCGUAGACUGUGGAAUGGUGGUGUGGUGUGGCUGGGAGUCAGUAUGAUUGAUGGGUUGAGAAGCAUUCUUAAGGGCUUGCCCCAUUGUUAUCAGUUUUACAAGCUGCUUGUGUUUUUCCUUCAGUAUAGUUUUUCCUAUUCUUGUGUAAAAGCUGUGUUUUUAAAUCUGCAAAAGCUGUGUUUAGAAACGCUGCCUCCAUCCAGCUAGUUUAGAGCUGUUUCUUUUAAUUCUUGUUGAAUAGUGGUAUUAAAAAUGCCAGAUGCCAUUCAGGCAGGUUGUAGUGAAUGUGCAUUGCUAUCUUCACUGGGAUCGCUCAUGCAUUACUUUGUUGCCCUAUUACCGGGUCACACCGCUGUUUUUGGUGGAAAUCGGCUAGUUUGGGGUGUCUCGAUUGGAGAUGACAUUGCAGGUGCUGUUCAGCAUACUGCUGCACUGGCUGGUUCCUAGGGAAAAUGUCGCACGGUGCCAUUGGAGGGAAGAGGGCCUGGAUGCCAGGAUGUUCCAGAUAUAAGAGAGUCUGAGAGAGGGGGUUGCAAUGGAGCAGGAUCAUGGCUUGGGGCCUCCUGAGCUUCCUGAGCGCGGGAGAGAGCAGUCCCAGUGGGGCUGCCUUCUACAGACAGCUGGAUGGUGAUCUCUGCCCCCUCCCAGCUCCUGCCUUCCUUCGCAAAAUCCGUCCAGCUCGGCUGUGCUUCAUUUCUGGAGCAGAAAGCAGGCUGUACUCUGUGGGGGAAGGCAGCAGCUGAACUUCGGGCCUCCCAGGAGGGGGAGUAGAGGAGCCUUCACUGCCGGCCUUGCAUCCUUGUGUGUCUGGGAAGAGCCUGCUGUGGUGCUGCCGGAGCAGGAGGAGGACCAGUGCCUGGUCCCACUAGGGCUGGUGGACUUCCCUGGCUGCACUGUUGAACGGCAGGGCAUGGCAUGAAACAUCACAUUAUUCAGAGGCAGAAAUUUUCACAUACAGCUUUUUGUUAAAUAAGUGGAUAUUUUAUGCAGUGAUAAUAAUAAUGGAAAUGUAGACUUUGAAGUUUGGAAUUAUCUUUGGUAUCAUACAAAUGACAAAAUUUUUUACAGAAAAUAGGUGGAUUCUUCAAUUACCACACCUUUUAGCCGUCUAGAAUAUGAUCAUCUACAUUCAGGAUUAUGUAUUGCCAAUAAAUUGACUUCUUAAAAUGGUUUAAACAUUUUUCUGUCCUGUCUUUAUUUAAUGAGCAUUUGAAUUCUCUCUGUAUUU